rnacentral:rRNA from 1 species
GUCUGGAAUCCCGAAGAGGAUUUGGGAGUGCUCGCAAGAGAACCGGAACACAGGUGCUGCAUGGCUGUCGUCAGCUCGUGUCGUGAGAUGUUGGGUUAAGUCCCGCAACGAGCGCAACCCUUGCCAUUAGUUGCUACAUUCAGUUGGGCACUCUAAUGGGACUGCCGGUGACAAACCGGAGGAAGGUGGGGAUGACGUCAAGUCCUCAUGGCCCUUAUGGGUAGGGCUUCACACGUCAUACAAUGGUCGGGACAGAGGGUUGCCAAGCCGCGAGGUGGAGCCAAUCUCAGAAACCCGAUCGUAGUCCGGAUCGCAGUCUGCAACUCGACUGCGUGAAGUCGGAAUCGCUAGUAAUCGCGGAUCAGCAUGUCGCGGUGAAUACGUUCCCGGGUCUUGUACACACCGCCCGUCACACCAUGGGAGUGGGUUUCACCAGAAGUAGGUAGCCUAACCGCAAGGAGGGCGCUUACCACGGUGAGAUUCAUGACUGGGGUGAAGUCGUAACAAGGUAAGCGUAGUGCU